AUUGAACGCUGGCGGCAGGCCUAACACAUGCAAGUCGAACGAGUGGCGGACGGGUGAGUAAUGUCUGGGAAACUGCCUGAUGGAGGGGGAUAACUACUGGAAACGGUAGCUAAUACCGCAUACCAUCAGAUGUGCCCAGAUGGGAUUAGCUAGUUGGAGGGGUAACGGCUCACCAAGGCUACGAUCCCUCGCUGGUCUGAGAGGAUGAAAAGCCAACCUGGAACUGAGACACGGUCCAGCAUCCUACGGUAGGCAGCAGGGGGGAAUAUUGCACAAUGGGCGUAAGCCUGAUGCAGCCAUGCCGAGUGUAUGAAGAAGGCCUUCGGGUUGUAAAGUACUUUCAGCGGGGAGGCGUUACCCGCAGAAGAAGCACCGGCUAACUCCGUGCCAGCAGCCGCGGUAAUAC
rnacentral:rRNA from 1 species